GACGAACGCUGGCGGCGUGCUUAACACAUGCAAGUCGAACGGAAAGGCCCUGCUUUUGUUGGUUGCUCGAGUGGCGAACGGGUGAGUAACACGUGAGUAACCUGCCCUUGACUUUGGGAUAACUUCAGGAAACUGGGUCUCAUACCGGAUAUGAGCUCCUGCUGCAUGGUGGUGGUUGGAAAGUUUCGGCGGUUGGGGAUGGACUCGCGGCUUAUCAGCUUGUUGGUGGGGUAGUUGCUUACCAAGGCUUUGACGGGUAGCCGGCCUGAGAGGGUGACCGGCCACAUUGGGACUGAGAUACGGCGCAGACGGCUACGGGAGGCAGCAGUGGGGAAUAUUGCACAAUGGGCGGAAGCCUGAUGCAGAAACGCCGCGUGCGGGAUGACGGCCUUCGGGUUGUAAACCGCUGUCGCCUGUGACGAAGAGUGAGUGACGGUAAUGAGUAAAGAAGCACCGGCUAACUACGUG
rnacentral:rRNA from 1 species